rnacentral:rRNA from 1 species
GAUGAACGCUGGCGGCGUGCUUAACACAUGCAAGUCGAACGGAAACAUAUUGAAACCUAGUGAUAUAUGUUUUAGUGGCGGACGGGUGAGUAACGCGUGGGUAACCUGCCUUGUACUGGGGGAUAACAGUUAGAAAUAGCUGCUAAUACCGCAUAAGACCACAGUUUCGCAUGAAACAGAGGUAAAAACUCCGGUGGUACAAGAUGGACCCGCGUCUGAUUAGCUAGUUGGUGAGGUAACGGCUCACCAAGGCGACGAUCAGUAGCCGGCCUGAGAGGGUGAACGGCCACAUUGGGACUGAGACACGGCCCAAACUCCUACGGGAGGCAGCAGUGGGGAAUAUUGCACAAAUGGGGGGAAACCCUGAUGCAGCGACGCCGCGUGAGUGAAGAAGUAUUUCGGUAUGUAAAGCUCUAUCAGCAGGGAAGAAAAAUGACGGUACCUGACUAAGAAGCCCCGGCUAACUACGUG